CCAAACCGAAGAAAGCGACUCCCUUGCUACAAAAGUUAUGGGCUUUUUUGGUGCAGUCAUUUUUGUAAUGGUAUGGGAGAAGUUGGCUAAGUGGGUUCUUCUGGCUGACCCGGUCUCUAUCGGUGCUUAGGCGGUUGAAUCAGGAACGUUCGGUGAAACGACCGUCUACAAUAGAACUAUGAUAGCCAGCCUCUAACCUGUGGCAUAUUUAGGGAGCUAAAACAACACGCAUGCGAAGAGCUCGAGAGGCAAAUCAGGUCGUACUGACGUCUCUUUCUAAGAAAAUUUCGACCACAGAUGCAGUUAUUACUAACUCAUGUUACCAAAUAUAUGUGUGUAGUUUAACGAUCGAUGCUGCUGUCCCACAUCGCCCCACCACGGAUUGCCACCAGCAUGACAUGAAGCGGAUCCAACUACCUCAGUCUGAAUAACUAACAUUAAAAGGUCUCCGUAUUCUAAAAGUAAUUUACUAAUUCUAUAAAUAAAGAAUCGUUACUGCACAAUAUUUGGAAUCGUCAAACUGUAUUAGGAUAAC
rnacentral:lncRNA from 1 species